UAGUGGAAUACCAACUUCAUGUACACUUGGCUUAUUCAGCACCCAUAAAAUUCAAUGGACCACCAUCCGGACAAAAGGAUAAAAACAGAACACAUCAAGAUAAUGAAUUUUCUUCAAACUACUGAGGUACAAUGAAAAAUGGAAAUAUUAUCUCAGAAAUUACAACAGAGGGAUGAAGAUAUAGCAUAUGCUGUACCUAAAAGAUACAUCAAAUGGGACAUUGGGAAUAUGGAUUGAUGAAAUUUAAUUUGCGAUUGUCCUAUAAUGCCUUUUCAUUACAGUACCACACAAAUUGAGGCAAUAAAUGUAUAUUUGAUCAAAAA
rnacentral:lncRNA from 1 species